UUAAUAUGUGACAGAAUCAAGGAAGCAGCACGAGACAACACGUGUUUGAUGUGGAAGACGUUAAUGGAGUCUCGGAUUGAAAAUAAACUUUAUUCCCUUGGAGUUUAUGAAACCAAUGAGUUACGGAACGGUGGCCAUGUUGAGGCUGUUGGCAUGGAUGUCUGGUAUGGUUCUCUCUGGCCGCAGACACACUGCCAGCCUCUGUCAGGUACAGAAGUCAAACCAUCGACAAGAUGCAAUGAAUGAUUGACUUUACCAAACUUUUUUUUUUUUUGUAUCCACUGACCUGCUUCAGAGAACCUGGCGUCCACACCAGCUUAUAAACCAUGUAGAUGGGGAUCCACAUGAAGGAUGACAAGCCAAUGAGGUAUCCGACUGUGAUGCUCCAGUCCGGGUACUUGUAGUCGAACAAGUUCAUACCGUGCUGUCCAGUCCCAGAGUGAUCAUCAUUACGAAAAAAAUGAUCGCAAAGAAGGUGGAACCCAUCAUGUUGGCGAUGGCCUCGGGGUAGGUGAUGAAGAGUAAACUGGGUCCUGAGAGCAAUGAAAACACCGAUAAGGAUGGAGUUGAGUGGGAAUAUGGAUGAGGACGUGCGUCUUGUGAUCACCUUUAUCUCGGGCCACAUCCUCCACCUUCACUUGCCUCAUCUCUGCCAUGUAGCCCAGCACUGUAAAGAUCACAAACCCUGACACGAAGCUGGUCAGACAGUUCACCAAACUGGUCACAAUGGCGUCGCUAGAGAGGCAGACAGGAAACACAAAAAAUGUACAGUAUAUGUAGGCUUUUUGUGGCCCUAAACGCGAUUUUGUUUGAGUAGCCUACUGUAUACCGUGUCACAGGCACUGUCUUUUGUUAAAUUUGAAAAUGUGUACACCUGCAGCCUACAUAUGUACAAAAUAAAAUUAGUCCAAAAUUAGGUGGGUGGGGCUUAUAUUUAAGUGCAUUCUGUAGUCCAGAACUUACGGUAAUACUGUAUUAUUAUUAUUCCGCCCACUAAAACCUUGUCAAGUAAGACACACAGGUCUUUGGCCUUUUGUUUUUUUAGGUAACAUUUUAAGGGAAUCGGGUAAGUUUAAUUUGUUUAUUUUUUCAGUGUAAUGUUUUGUCUUAGAAUGUGUGAUGGGCCAAUAAAGAAACUAGCUGCUGGUCCCCGUCCCGCACUUUGGACACGUCUAAUUUAGAGCUCAUCAAAUGUCACUGAGGGUCCCAAUAAUCACAGUGCUGCAGAAUAACACAAAUCAUUUUUAACUAAAAUUUUUAAUAACUGAUUUGUAUUACAUUCAGUGUUAUACAGUAUAUCAUAGCCGUCAGUUGAAAUCGUUAUCAAAAAGACAAUAAAACUAAAUGGAUGAAUAAAAGUGUAUUUUUAAUAAUUCAUUUUCUUCUUUAUGUCCCAAUUCGAAAAUUACAUCAGCAGAUGUCUCAUCAAAGAUUUAAGCCAAGACUGUUCUUAGUUUUGGCCUGUGUCAU